UAUUUAUAUAAUUUAAAUUUUGAGUUAAAAUGCUUAAAUUUUUUUAUAGGACGAGAAGACCCUAUAGAUCUUUAUUUUUUUUUUUANUAUUUAAUUUUGGUUAUUUGUUUUUAAUAAUUUUGGUUUUUUUGUUGGGGGACAUGGAAAUAAAAUUAACUCUUUAUUUUUAUUAAACAAUUAUUUUUGUUUAUUUGAC
rnacentral:rRNA from 1 species